UACGUAGGGUGCGAGCGUUAAUCGGAAUUACUGGGCGUAAAGGGCGCGUAGGCGGCCUGCUAAGUCGAACGUGAAAUCCCUGGGCUCAACCCAGGAACUGCGUCCGAUACUGGUUGGCUUGAAUCCGGGAGAGGGAUGUGGAAUUCCAGGUGUAGCGGUGAAAUGCGUAGAUAUCUGGGAGGAACACCGGUGGCCGAAGGCGGCUAAGCCUGGCC
rnacentral:rRNA from 1 species